rnacentral:lncRNA from 10 species
UUACAGUUCAAAAAUACAUGCAUAUUUUUGCUUUCAGUAUUUACUUGUAUAUGACACCUUGACAAGAACUGUUUUGAAGGAGUGACAGGGAUAGAAAUUUUACUGGCACAGGUUUAAGAGAGAAUGAAAAGAGUGGAACUGGAGAAAAUAAGUAUAGACGAAUGCUUUCAAAGAGUUUGAUUCUAAAGUGGUGCAGAUAAAAGAGGCACUAACUUGAGUGGGAUGCAGCCAAUGAACUUUUCACACUCACUCUCUCCUAGGUACAACUAAAAUCCCUGAACAUUAUAUAGAAAAUAAACACAAGACCCUGAAAGGUGGAAACCUGAGGAACUACAUGGUGGUGAGUUAUCUGGGUUUCUUUUUGCCUAAUAUAUUCCAAACUUGGAGCUGAAGAAGCUAGUAACCAGCAACACCAAUGGGGGCAGACAAAAAGCCCCAAUAAAACCCUGCCUUUUCUCUAGCCAAAAGACAAAGAAAGGAGGAGCCUCACAAAACAGAAAACUCUUAGAAAACAAACACUCUACUCCAGUUAAAAACCACUGAAAAAACUAUGGCCCAACUCCCACCAAUGCCAGCAAAGACUGAAUGGGGACCUAAAAUGUCCACCCUUACCAGGAUAUAAUAAAGCCUCUCUCUCAACUCCUACAAUGCUGGUGGAAAUCGAAACCACACAGGUAACAUGAACUUCUGCUCUUGCCAGGUAGUAACAAGCAGCCAAUCCUCUUCUGCCCUAGGUUGAUAUAGAGGAGGCCUAGUGAAGGGUCAGGGCUUUCACCAUCACCCAGUGGUAACAAGGCACUCCUAUCCCUUUCAGACAAGAAAGCAUCAGUAAAAGCGUAGUGGGAACCCAGAACUCUCAUCCCUGCCCAGCAGUCACAAGGGAUAUCCUUCCUUAGAUGUUAAUGAAUGCAGAGUAGAAAAUUCAAUUUCUACCUGUACCUGGCAGUAAUAAGGUGGCAGCCCUGAUUUCUCUUGCCAGAAUAGCAUUAGAGUAAGCUAGCUAAAACUGAAGCUUUAAAUACGAUCCAGAGAUCCAGAGUUUCAUAAUAUACUACCCAAAAUAUCCAGGUUUCAAUUUAAAAAAUCACUUGUCAAACCAAGAUCUCAAAUGGAAUGCAAAAACACAAUCAAUACUUGCAACCACCAAAAUGACAGAGAUGUUCAGAAUUAUCUGACACAUUUUAAAUUAGCUAUCACACAAAUGCUUCAACAAGUAAUUAAAAACGUAAUAGAAAAAUGAAAAAAUAUAAAGUCUCAGCAAAAAAAAAAAAGUCCAAGGACAAAGAAAUAUAAGAUACAAAAAAAGAACCAAAUGGAAAUUUUUGAACUGUAAAAUACAAGGUAGCCUUAAGCCCUAAUAUAUC